UACGUAGGGAGCGAGCGUUGUCCGAAUUUACUGGGCGUAAAGCGCGCGUAGGCGGGUUUUUAAGUUGGGGGUGAAAUGCCGAGGCUUAACCUCGGAACUGCCUCCAAAACUGGGAGCCUUGAGGUUUGGAGAGGGAAGUGGAAUUCCAGGUGUAGCGGUGAAAUGCGUAGAUAUCUGGAGGAACACCCGUGGCGAAGGCGGCUUCCUGGCCAUAUCCUGACGCUGAGGUGCGAAAGCUAGGGGAGCGAACGGG
rnacentral:rRNA from 1 species